rnacentral:rRNA from 1 species
UACGUAGGGUGCGAGCGUUGUCCGGAAUUAUUGGGCGUAAAGAGCUCGUAGGCGGCCUGUCGCGUCGGUUGUGAAAGCCCGGGGCUUAACCCCGGGUCUGCAGUCGAUACGGGCAGGCUAGAGUUCGGUAGGGGAGAUCGGAAUUCCUGGUGUAGCGGUGAAAUGCGCAGAUAUCAGGAGGAACACCGGUGGCGAAGGCGGGUCUCUGGGCCGAUACUGACGCUGAGGAGCGAAAGCGUGGGGAG